rnacentral:sRNA from 1 species
CCACCAGGGAUGAGGUGACGGCGGCCGUCGC